GCCGAUAAUCGAUAGAGGCCGUGAGAGCGGGAGCCUCAAGAUGGGUACUGAGACAGCGACCCAGGCCCUACGGGGCGCAGCAGGCGCGAAACCUCCACAAUGCACGCAAGUGCGAUGGGGCUACCCAAAGUGCUCCACACGGAGCUGUGGUGGAUGAGUAAUGUUCUCCGCUAGAAAGGAGAGGGCAAGGCUGGUGCCAGCCGCCGCGGUAAAACCAGCUCUUCAAGUGGUCGGGAUAAUUAUUGGGCUUAAAGUGUCCGUAGCCGGUAUGGUAAGUUCCUGGUAAAAUUGGGCAGCUUAACUGUCCUUGUGCUAGGGAUACUGCUCUACUAGAGGGCGGGAGAGGUCUGAGGUACUACAGGGGUAGGGGUGAAAUCUUAUAAUCCUUGUAGGACCACCAGUGGCGAAAGCGUCAGACUGGAACGCGCCUGACGGUGAGGGACGAAAGCCAGGGGAGCGAACCGGAUUAGGUACCCGGGUAGUCCUGGCCGUAAACGAUGCGCACUAGGUGAUGGUGCGGCUAUGAGCCGCAUCAGUGUCGUAGGGAAACCGUUAAGUGUGCCGCCUGGGAAGUACGGUCGCAAGGCUUAAACUUAAAGGAAUUGGCGGGGGAGCACCACAAGGGGUGAAGCCUGCGGUUCAAUUGGACUCAACGCCGGGCAACUUACCAGGGGAGACAGCAGAGUGAGGGUCAGGUUGGCGACCUUACUCGACGAGCUGAGAGGAGGUGCAUGGCCGUCGCCAGUUCGUGCUGUGAGGUAUCCUGUUAAGUCAGGCAACGAACGAGAUCCGCGCCUUUAUUUGCCAUCAAGAAGUCACGACUUCGUUGGGAACACUAAAGGGACCGCCGUCGAUAAGACGGAGGAAGGAGCGGGCAAAGGCAGGUCAGUAUGCCCCGAAACCCCUGGGCUACACGCGGGCUGCAAUGGUGCGAACAAUGGGCUGUAACUCCGAAAGGAGAAACCAAUCCCGAAAUCGCAUCUCAGUGGGGAUUGUCGACUGUAACUCGUUGACAUGAACGUGGAAUCCCUAGUAA
rnacentral:rRNA from 1 species